GGCCAUGGCGCUCGCAGAUCCGCCCGCCCCGUCAUCGCCGCUGCGCUCGCAGGUGAGCGGCGCCGACCUAACGGAUCUUCCUCGUCGUCAACCCGGCGUACUGGUGUGGUGGAUCCGCCUCCUCUCUGUUUCAACCAUGGUUGUGCUCUUUCAUGUGCGCGGCCCUCUCCGUGACAACUGCAGCCCAAGGUCGUCAAAUCCGUCACCGUCGCCAUUCUUCUGCUCGAGGCCUUUGCCACCAUGGAUGGAUGCGGGCAAGGCCAGCCUCCCCCUCCCCACGCAUAGGUGACUAUGGGAGUUGCAUUGACAGAGUCCAUGUAUUAAACUGGGGCAUUUUUGGCAGCUGCAGCAACCUGACAAUUAAUUCGUUCUCAUCCAAGGUUUACCGCUCGUCUUGCUAAUGUUAAUUUGUAUGUUUGUUGAUGGCUUGCUUCCCAACCACAUGUGCUCCCCACGGUGAGGAACGGACGUGCUCAACGCCUUCCUUCCCAACCAGAUAUGAGAAAGAAGAAAUAGGACCAAGAAAAUUAGUUGCUCAUAUAUUCAUCUGUCUUGCGGAGAAGAACCCGAAUGGAGAACUUGGUAUGCCGAGUAAUGUGCAGGUUGCUUUUGUCCUCUCACCUGCUCUUUGGUCUUCGUCUGUUGCUCUGCUGGCUCGUCAUCUCCUUGGUUGGAGGUUGUUCUUGGUCCUGCCAUUUGUUCUUGUUAGAGCUCACUGAAAAUAUUUGUUCUCACCUAUGCUAAUGCCUUUCGGUUAAACUAGGAAUUAUUUCAUUGUUGGAAGCUUUCAUCUGCAUAUAUGCGUAAGGGGCUGUGUAUUUAUUUUG